rnacentral:lncRNA from 1 species
CACUGCUAUAAGAGGAACUUGGCUGUGAACCCACAGGGCGGGAACACUGGCAUGGUGGGUGGCAGUGUUCCUGUCUUUGACGAAGUCAUCCUGUCCACUGCCCUCAUGAAUCAAGUCAUCAGCUUUCACAAUGUAUCUGAGGAAUCCUGGUUUGCCAGGCAGGCUGUGUGCUGGAGGAGCUGAGCAGGUACGUGCAGGAGCGGGACUUCAUCAUGCCACUGGACUUGGGAGCAAAGGGCAGCUGCCACAUCGGGGGAAAUGUGGCAACAAAUGCUGGUGGCCUGCGAUUCCUGAGAUAUGGCUCCCUUCGAGGGACUGUCCUGGGCCUGGAAGUGGUGAGCCAGAUUCCAAAGGGGUGCAAAGCCUGCCCCGGGGGUGUUCUAGCUUCAGUCUGAGGCUGCUGAACCUAUUGUAAUGGUUCUGGCUCUAAGAGCUUCAGGGACACGUGGAGUUCACAGAGGAGCCACCAGGGGGCACUUUUCUCAGGCAGUGAUGCUCUCCUUGUACCUGACUUUCAGAAAUUGGAAAAUGAGGAAGGUUAGCUAAGGCCAACUUGGUGUGGAGUUGCACCCGCCAGCUCACCUCCAGGACCCUUGAAUCCCCUUCCCUGAG